rnacentral:rRNA from 1 species
AACGAACGUUGGCGGCGUGGAUUAGGCAUGCAAGUCGUACGGGACCUGAGGGCUUGCUCUCAGGUUUAGUGGCGAACGGGUGAGUAGCGCGUGGGAAACCUGCCCUCGAGUUGGGGAUAACACUCCCAACGGGGUGCUAAUACCGGAUAAGACCACGAAAUCGCAUGGUUUUGAGGUCAAAGGUGGGGACCCGAAAGGGCCUACCGCUUGAGGAUGGUCCCGCGUCCCAUUAGCUUGUUGGUGGGGUAAUGGCCUACCAAGGCUGCGAUGGGUAGCUGGUCUGAGAGGAUGGUCAGCCACACUGGGACUGAGAUACGGCCCAGACUCCUACGGGAGGCAGCAGUCGAGAGGCUUCGGCAAUGGGGGAAACCCUGACCGAGCGACGCCGCGUGGGCGAUGAAGGCCGUUAGGUGUAAAGCCCUGUCGUGCGGGAAGAAAUGCAGGUGGGCAAACAGUCCAUCUGUUUGACGGUACCGCAAAAGGAAGCUCCGGGCUAACUCCGUGCCAGCAGCCGCUGU